rnacentral:rRNA from 1 species
CCUACGGGUGGCAGCAGUGGGGAAUAUUGGACAAUGGGGGCAACCCUGAUCCAGCCAUGCCGCGUGUGUGAAGAAGGCCCUCGGGUUGUAAAGCACUUUCAGUGAGGAAGAACGCCUGGUGGUUAAUACCCAUCAGGAAAGACAUCACUCACAGAAGAAGCACCGGCUAACUCCGUGCCAGCAGCCGCGGUAAUACGGAGGGUGCGAGCGUUAAUCGGAAUUACUGGGCGUAAAGCGCGCGUAGGUGGCUUGAUAAGCCGGUUGUGAAAGCCCCGGGCUCAACCUGGGAACGGCAUCCGGAACUGUCAAGCUAGAGUGCAGGAGAGGAAGGUAGUAUUCCCGGUGUAGCGGUGAAAUGCGUAGAGAUCGGGAGGAAUACCAGUGGCGAAGGCGGCCUUCUGGACUGACACUGACACUGAGGUGCGAAAGCGUGGGUAGCAAACAGGAUUAGAUACCCCUGUAGUC